CCGCCCACUCCCGUCGGCCCCCGCGGGCCGCUCCCGUCGCCGUGGAAACGAAGGCAGCCAAGCGGCGCGGCGGCUUCCGCUCCUCCGCGUCGGGGAGGGCUCCGGCCGACCGCGAUGCUGAAGGCCAAGAUCCUGUUCGUGGGGCCCUGCGAGAGUGGAAAAACCGUUUUGGCCAACUUCCUGACAGAAUCUUCUGACAUCACCGAAUACAAUCCGACCCAGGGAGUAAGGAUCCUGGAAUUUGAGAACCCGCAUGUCACCAGCAACGACAAAGGCACGGCAUGUGAAUUUGAGCUGUGGGAUUGUGGCGGUGACCCCAAUCCCACAGGUAGAAACCAGAAGCACCUAACAUCCGCUCUGAAUCCAGUGCUGCCUUGCAGGUUCGAGUCUUGCUGGCCAGCCCUGAUGAAGGAUUCCCACGGGGUGGUGAUCGUCUUCAAUGCCGACACCCCAAGCCACCUGAAGGAAAUCGACAUGUGGUAUUCCUGCUUCGUCCAGCAGCAGCUCCUACAGGACACUCAGUGUCUGUUGAUCGCACACCACAAACCAGGCUCCGGAAGUGAUAAAGGAAACCUGUCUUUGUCACCCCCCUUGAACAAGCUGAAGCUGGUGCACUCGAACCUGGAGGAUGACCCUGAAGAGAUCAGGGUGGAGUUCAUAAAGUAUUUAAAGAGCAUAGUCAAUUCAGUGUCUGAAAGCAGAGACCGGGAGGAGAUGUCGAUUAUCACGUGACCAGCCUUCAUCCGGACUCUUCCGCGUUGCAGAUGGGGUCCGCUCAUUUCCCAGUGCACAUCUAGAAUCUCGUCCAGCUAUUGAUGUGUCCUCCCCGUGGCCGUAGAAGAGCUUUUCCUUGUCUGCUCUAAGGUCCUGACUUUAGCCUUCCCCACCUGAUGGUUGGUACUCUCUUGGCCUUGGCUGAUACUUUCUCAACAGAUGUGUUCCUUCCUCAAGCAACAAAUGAAGGAUCCUGUUUUAAAAACCAAAUCCAAAGGAAUUAAAUUAGCGAGGAGGGAGGAAGCUCCUCUGCUUUUGAAACGGUAACAGAUUACAUGUUUUUGAUGUGACUUCGAAACUGCUUUAUCAGUUAAAUAAUUCUCUACAUUUAUGAUACUGGCCAUUCUUCCUACCACAGUUAAAAGCCAAUGGAAAUGUUGUGUCUGCCAAGUAUUCCCACUUCAAAAGGAAAGUUCUCAGUGCUUUGAUGUGAGCAACACCUCAUCUGUCUUCCUGCACUCUACGGUUCAUUCGUAUCUAGGCCUCCUGAUAGCUUUAAAAAGUAUGCCUCCUUCCUCUAAAGCCUCAGUGCAGAUUUACCUCACGCUUAAGCAGGUCUUUGGAUGGGAGCAUAAUUUUAGUUUUCAGACGUUCAAAGUGCUAUGCAAAAUAAAAAUAACUCACCUAUGUUGCAUUUUGUCUAACUGGAGUUUUGUGGAGUUUAUACAGAACUAUCCUUUUUUCCCUCUUUUGUGUGACUUUACGAGGCCUGGAAAACACCCACGUGUGUGUUACCCAUAUCAUGUAAUGAAAUCUUUUGUCCAGAGGAAUAAAAUUCUGAUUUUAUCAAAGUA